rnacentral:rRNA from 1 species
UACGUAGGGAGCAAGCGUUGUUCGGAUUUACUGGGCGUAAAGGGCGCGUAGGCGGCGCGGUAAGUCACUUGUGAAAUCUCUGCGCUUAACUCAGAACGGCCAAGUGAUACUGCAGUGCUAGAGUGCAGAAGGGGCAAUCGGAAUUCUUGGUGUAGCGGUGAAAUGCGUAGAUAUCAAGAGGAACACCUGAGGUGAAGACGGGUUGCUGGGCUGACACUGACGCUGAGGCGCGAAAGCCAGGGGAGCAAACGGG